UUAACCAUCAUUCUUUUACAGCUUUUUAUUUAUUUAAUCAUCUAUGAUUAUUUGUUAAGACAUUGCAGAACAUUCUCUGAUUAUUAUUAAGGGAGAGUUUGGAUCUAAAAGUUAGGUAAUAAUCACCAGGUUUAAGAGGAUAUUGCAACAGGAAAUUAAGGAAAAAAGAUGCUUUAUUAUUAUUUGCUAUACAUUUAUGCUAUAAUUUUCAUGUACAAGUAUAUCUAUAUCAUCACUACAAAAUUUUGAUCCUCAUACAUAAAAGUUCAACUAAUUGUUGAGGACAUUAAGAAGUGAGACUCUGAUUUUAAUAAGACGCCUAAAUAGAAACUCAAGUCCUUCUUCAAGGUCUUGAAUGCAUGAUUCUGUUUUCUCCAAAUGGUUUUGCAGAUCAUUGAUGGCUUCAAGUUUUCUAGUUUUG
rnacentral:lncRNA from 1 species